UUUGGCCUCAAAUCAGGUAGGACUACCCGCUGAACUUAAGCAUAUCAAUAAGCGGAGGAAAAGAAACUAACAAGGAUUCCCCUAGUAACUGCSAGUGAAGAGGGAAAAGCUCAAAUUUGAAAUCUGGCAGUCUACGGCUGUCCGAGUUGUAAUCUAGAGAAGUGUUUUCCGUGCUGGACCGUGUACAAGUCCUUUGGAACAAGGCGUCAUAGAGGGUGAGAAUCCCGUCUACGACACGGACUCCCAGUGCUCUGUGAUACACUCUCAACGAGUCGAGUUGUUUGGGAAUGCAGCUCAAAAUGGGUGGUAAAUUCCAUCUAAAGCUAAAUAUAGGCGAAAGACCGAUAGCGAACAAGUACCGUGAGGGAAAGAUGAAAAGCACUUUGGAAAGAGAGUUAAACAGUACGUGAAAUUGUUGAAAGGGAAACGCUUGAAGUCAGUCGCGUCUUCAGAAACUCARCCUGGCUUCUGCCUGGUGUACUUUUCUGUUGGACGGGCCAGCAUCAGUUUCGGCCGCCAGAAAAAGGUGGGAGGAAGGUGGCACCCUCGGGUGUGUUAUAGCCUCUCAUCGUAUGUGGUGGCUGGGACUGAGGACCGCAGCACGCCUCUAAUGGCCGGGGUUCGCCCACGUAACGUGCUUAGGAUGCUGGCGUAAUGGCUUUAAACGACCCGUCUUGAAACACGGACCAAGGAGUCUAACAUGCCUGCGAGUAUUUGGGUGGUAUACCCAUAUGCGGAAUGAAAGUGAACAGUUGGGACUUCUGUCAUGGAAGGCACCGACGCCCGGCCCAGACCUAUUGUGACGGAUCCGAGGUAGAGCAUGUAUGUUGGGACCCGAAAGAUGGUGAACUAUGCCUGAGUAGGGUGAAGCCAGAGGAAACUCUGGUGGAGGCUCGUAGCGAUUCUGACGUGCAAAUCGAUCGUCGAACUYGGGUAUAGGGGCGAAAGACUAAUCGAAC
rnacentral:rRNA from 1 species